AGGAUAUGACUCCCAUCCCUAUCCUGAUCAGCAGCACAGCAGGACUUGGUGGAUAGUGUUCCCUUAGUGCCUGCUCUUUAAUUAUCCUGCACUUUGUUCCAGGAAGAUCUAAAUGUCCAUGCUGUCCAAGGAAUAUCCUACUUUACUUGAGAACUCAAUAAUGGCAAUGUUAGUGCUUCAAUAUCCUCUAAACUUUAUUGUGUGCAUUCAUAUGAAGAUAUUUCUCCACAAUCAUACCCAGGAAAAAAUGCAGGAUAGAUCUGUCACCUUCCUAUGAACCCACAGUCAAAUCAAGAUGAUGAAAAGAAAACCAGAAGUAUGAUUCAAAUGUCUCAUCUGAAAUUCAACAUUCAAGUGUCACAGUUUUUUGUUUUAAAUGUGAUUGAUGAAGAUGUAAUUACGGUAUAUAGAGCCUGAAAGAUCGUCUCUUGCCGGUCGCAUCAACCUGACCCAUCAGAGCAGGGAGACAGGGGAUGUUGUGGGUCCCAUUUCCAAGGGAGAUACAUCUGGUGGAACCCAGAAGAAUGGUCUUUUCCAUCGUGACUCCCUCUCUCUGGAACAUCAUUCCCUCAAAGAUUAGAAUGGUCCCCACUCUAGUUCUCUUCCAAAAGAUAUCCUGUGAUGUUACUAGGAUUGUUUACAUUGUCUACAGUUACUACCCUUUCAUAAUUUCUUCUGAGGCAAGUAACUUUGAAGGUAUAGGGAAUUACAGAGAUGACUGCAGGAACUAGACAGAGAUAAUGGUUGGAAAAACAUGUGUUAAGCCUAGAAAGCUGAGAAAACUUGAGACUAUUCAUUAAAUGACGAGUAUAAGAGGGACAGGAACACUCAGACAUUUAAGAUUCUGUUGCUAUAAACUACAGCA